CUACACAUGCAGUCGAGCGGAUGAGAGGAGCUUGCUCUGGAUUCAGCGGCGGACGGGUGAGUAAUGCCUAGGAAUCUGCCUGGUAGUGGGGGACAACGUUUCGAAAGGAACGCUAAUACCGCAUACGUCCUACGGGAGAAAGCAGGGGACCUUCGGGCCUUGCGCUAUCAGAUGAGCCUAGGUCGGAUUAGCUAGUUGGUGAGGUAAUGGCUCACCAAGGCGACGAUCCGUAACUGGUCUGAGAGGAUGAUCAGUCACACUGGAACUGAGACACGGUCCAGACUCCUACGGGAGGCAGCAGUGGGGAAUAUUGGACAAUGGGCGAAAGCCUGAUCCAGCCAUGCCGCGUGUGUGAAGAAGGUCUUCGGAUUGUAAAGCACUUUAAGUUGGGAGGAAGGGUUGUAGAUUAAUACUCUGCGAUUUUGACGUUACCGACAGAAUAAGCACCGGCUAACUCUGUGCCAGCAGCCGCGGUAAUACAGAGGGUGCAAGCGUUAAUCGGAAUUACUGGGCGUAAAGCGCGCGUAGGUGGUUUGUUAAGUUGGAUGUGAAAUCCCCGGGCUCAACCUGGGAACUGCAUCCAAAACUGGCAAGCU
rnacentral:rRNA from 1 species